UGGAAGGCGUGCAGUGGCAGCCAGCUGACGGCGAAGACGGCCACCACCAUCACCAGCAUCUUGGUGGUCUUGCGACGGCGGCGGUGGGUGCGCGACAGGCGGCUGGCGUUCAUCUGGCUCCAGGUUGCGAUGAUGAAGACGAGGAGGCUGAAAGAGGAUGCGAGCUUCGUCUCCACUCAGAAGCCGUGUGAAAAUGUGGCGAUUUCCCCGCUGCAUGUCUCAGCCCACCCCCCCCGACCACCACCGCCGCUGCCAGCGCACAGGAUGCUGCACGUUGCAGGCCUGUCUAGGCUGCCAUCCAGAUGGUGAAAGACAGCAGCAGUGUGGCCAAAAUGGUGAUGGGGGUGGCACAGCCGAGGUAAAGCAG